rnacentral:rRNA from 1 species
AUACGUAGGGGGCGAGCGUUGUCCGGAAUGAUUGGGCGUAAAGGGCGCGUAGGCGGCCCGGUAAGUCUGGAGUGAAAGUCCUGCUUUUAAGGUGGGAAUUGCUUUGGAUACUGUGGUUCUUGAGGGUCGGAGAGGUAACCGGAAUUCCUGGUGUAGCGGUGAAAUGCGUAGAUAUCAGGAGGAACACCGGUGGCGAAGGCGGGUUACUGGACGAUUACUGACGCUGAGACACGAAAGCGUGGGGAGCAAACAGGAUUAGAUACCCUGGUAGUCCACGCUGUAAACGAUGAAUGCUAGGUGUGGGGACGUAAGUUUCCGUGCCGGAGUUAACACAAUAAGCAUUCCGCCUGGGGAGUACGGCCGCAAGGUUGAAACUUAAAGGAAUUGGCGGGG